AGAGUUUGAUCAUGGCUCAGGAUGAACGCUAGCGGCAGGCUUAACACAUGCAAGGUCGAGGGGCAGCGGGAUGUAGCAAUACAUUGCCGGCGACCGGCGGAUGGGUGCGUAACGCGUAUGCAACCUACCUUAUACAGGGGAAUAACCUUUCGAAAGGGAGACUAACACCCCAUAGUAUUGAUUUAAGGCAUCUUAGAUUAAUUAAAUAUUUAUAGGUAUAAGAUGGGCAUGCGUAUGAUUAGCUAGUUGGUAAGGUAACGGCUUACCAAGGCGACGAUCAUUAGGGGUUCUGAGAGGAAGGUCCCCCACACUGGUACUGAGACACGGACCAGACUCCUACGGGAGGCAGCAGUGAGGAAUAUUGGUCAAUGGGCGCAAGCCUGAACCAGCCAUGCCGCGUGCAAGGAAGACGGCCCUAUGGGUUGUAAACUGCUUUUACAUAAGACUAACCGUAUAUUUGCGAAUAUACCUGAAUGUAUUAUGAGAAUAAGGAUCGGCUAACUCCGUGCCAGCCGCGGC
rnacentral:rRNA from 1 species